rnacentral:rRNA from 1 species
CGGGGUUAGUGGCGGACGGGUGAGUAACACGUGGGAACGUGCCUUUAGGUUCGGAAUAGCUCCUGGAAACGGGUGGUAAUGCCGAAUGUGCCCUUCGGGGGAAAGAUUUAUCGCCUUUAGAGCGGCCCGCGUCUGAUUAGCUUGUUGGUGGGGUAAUGGCCCACCAAGGCUACGAUCAGUAGCUGGUCUGAGAGGAUGACCAGCCACAUUGGGACUGAGAUACGGCCCAGACUCC